GGGUCAGUAGGUUGGUCGUGCCACCGGUACGUACUGGUCUCACUGAUUCCUCCUUCCUGAAGAACCGUAAUGCAAUUAAUUUGGUGUUGCGGGGAAACAGGACUGUUACUUUGAAAAAAUUAGAGUGUUUAAAGCAAGCUAACGCUUGAAUACAUUAGCAUGGAAUAAUGAAAUAGGACGAUCGAUCCUAUUUUGUUGGUUUCUAGGAUUGACGUAAUUAUUAAUAGGGAAGUUGGG
rnacentral:rRNA from 1 species